rnacentral:rRNA from 1 species
CCUACGGGUGGCAGCAGUGGGGAAUAUUGGACAAUGGGCGAAAGCCUGAUCCAGCCAUGCCGCGUGUGUGAAGAAGGUCUUCGGAUUGUAAAGCACUUUAAGUUGGGAGGAAGGGCAGUAAGCUAAUACCUUGCUGUUUUGACGUUACCGACAGAAUAAGCACCGGCUAACUUCGUGCCAGCAGCCGCGGUAAUACGAAGGGUGCAAGCGUUAAUCGGAAUUACUGGGCGUAAAGCGCGCGUAGGUGGUUUGUUAAGUUGAAUGUGAAAGCCCCGGGCUCAACCUGGGAACUGCAUCCAAAACUGGCAAGCUAGAGUAUGGCAGAGGGUGGUGGAAUUUCCUGUGUAGCGGUGAAAUGCGUAGAUAUAGGAAGGAACACCAGUGGCGAAGGCGACCACCUGGGCUAAUACUGACACUGAGGUGCGAAAGCGUGGGGAGCAAACAGGAUUAGAUACCCCAGUAGUC